AAAUCGCAGUGAAGAUGCUGUGUACCCGCGGCUAGACGGAAAGACCCCGUGAACCUUUACUACAGCUUGGCACUGAACAUUGACCCUACAUGUGUAGGAUAGGUGGGAGGCUUUGAAGCAGAAACGCUAGUUUUUGUGGAGCCGUCCUUGAAAUACCACCCUUGUAGUGUUGAUGUUCUAACGUUGGUCCCUAAUCGGGAUUACGGACAGUGCCUGGUGGGUAGUUUGACUGGGGCGGUCUCCUCCCAAAGAGUAACGGAGGAGCACGAAGGUUGGCUAAGUACGGUCGGACAUCGUACGGUUAGUGUAAUGGUAGAAGCCAGCUUAACUGCGAGACAGACACGUCGAGCAGGUACGAAAGUAGGUCAUAGUGAUCCGGUGGUUCUGAAUGGAAGGGCCAUCGCUCAACGGAUAAAAGGUACUCCGGGGAUAACAGGCUGAUACCGCCCAAGAGUUCAUAUCGACGGCGGUGUUUGGCACCUCGAUGUCGGCUCAUCACAUCCUGGGGCUGAAGUCGGUCCCAAGGGUAUGGCUGUUCGCCAUU
rnacentral:rRNA from 1 species